rnacentral:lncRNA from 1 species
UUUUUUUUUUUUUUCCUUUCUUUUUAGAGCCAUACUCAGGGCUUAAGGUAGUUCAGAUCUGAGCCAUAUCUGCAACCUAUACCACAGCUCAAGGCAACAGCGGAUCCCUAACCCACUGAGUGAGGCCAGGGAUUGAAACUGCGUCCACAUGGAGGAGAAGAAAGCGAGGUGAAGUGGGGGUGGACCUCCAUCCCUUCCAGAAGUCCCCUGGGACACGUCUGAGCAGAUUGGCACGAUCCUAGCUAUAAGCCCAUGACCAAGACAAAAGGAGUGAACGAGUAUUUACUGUAAUAUAGCCUGGCCAAGGGCCUGAUGGGGCUGCCUGGGUCUCUGGCCUCCCAUGGCCCGUCUCUGGGAGGAGGAGGACUCCUGGGGAACCUGGCGGAGGCUGACCACUCCCCUGUGUGUGGGGAAGCAAGACCUACCCAGCUGGAAAAAGCCAGGCUUCUGUACUGAGAUGAUCCACAAAAAAUGGUGGAAAUGGUCCUUCGCGUUGUUUUUCACACCACUGCCCAAGCUGGACCCGUGUGCAGGCAUUGGUGAGUACAGGCUGACAGCCCAAGAACAGCCCUGGGUUCUAGACAAAGCCUGGGAGGAAGCGGGUUGCCUCCACCAGGAGGAUGCGGCCAACACCUGCUCCCCUGGGAUGCCCUGAACGGCUCCACAUCACACGUCAUCCAGACGCAACACCCUUGUUCAUCUCCAAUCCCUGCUUCCCAGCUUGGAAGCUGCUAACCAGUCUCCCAGGCCAGACACAUGCCCCCUCAGCUGGUACUACUCCCAGAUCUUUCCAGACCCCCACCUGGACGGCAGCUUUGGGGCUCAGCAGCCAGACUUCAUGUCCACGGAGUCUGCGUUUCCUCCAUGAGGCUCCACCUUGGAGUAAUGGGCUUGGGGUCUCCUUCCCAAACCGGGGAGAGGCACAUGUCCAGGCAAACCUGGGGGGAAGGGAGCAAACCGGUUCCCCCUGCCAUGUCAUCUUGUCCCCACUGCCUUGCUCUCCCCUAGGGCCUCUCCCUGCUCACCUCUGCACCUGCCCUCCUCUGGGUGGGGCUGUGUCCCCUCAGGUGGCAUCUCCUUCUAGGGGUGGCUGCAGGGAGGAGAGGCCAGACCCCUUCAGGGUUUCUGUGAAGGAGGCCGUGGCCCUGAGGUGGGUCCUGGAUUCCCAGAGCCCCAAGCUUUGGUCCUGGGCUCCCACCCAUGGGCCCUGCUGCAAUGCUGGGCUGGAGAGCACAGGGCUCAAACCCACAGCUUUGGCACAGUUGUCUGGGUUCCCACUCCUAGUCAUGGGUUUUAGGGAAACACUAAAUCCCUGAGCCUUGGUGUCCUCAUCUGUAAAAUGGCGUUAGUAGCACAAGCCACAGUCCCUUUCUAAAACCAUUGGUUCAUACUCCAGAAUUCAGAAAUUUUCAGCCUCACCAGGUGACAUGGUACAUCUACUCAAUUUAACACGACACCCACUGGUGUCUGAAAAUACCUUGUAGUGAAGCACAGUAAUCUUUCUGCAACUGCACUUUUGUUGUUGUUGUUGUUUAUUAAGUUAUUUUUAUUUUGUUCCCUGAUAGCUGGUUGACAGUGUUCUGUCAGUUUUCUACUGCACAGCAAAGUGACCCAAUUACACAUACAUAUAGGCACUCUUUUUUCUCACCUUAUCACGCUCCAUCAUAAGUUGCAGCUGUACUUCUGAACAUUCAUACCAAGUGAAAGAAAUAAAGACCAUGAAGUAUUUCAUAU